UCCGGUUUGGCACCGGCAGUCCUCCCAGAGUCCUCGCCAUUACGCGUUAGUAACUGUGAACAAGGGUUGCGCUCGUUGCGGGACUUAACCCAACAUCUCACGACACGAGCUGACGACAGCCAUGCAGCACCUGUGUUCCGAUUCCCUUUCGGGCACACCCGGAUCUCUCCGGGCUCUCGGACAUGUCAAGGGUAGGUAAGGUUUUUCGCGUUGCAUCGAAUUAAUCCACAUAAUCCACCGCUUGUGCGGGUCCCCGUCAAUUCCUUUGAGUUUUAAUCUUGCGACCGUACUCCCCAGGCGGGGCACUUAAUGCGUUAGCUGCGGCACCCAGGGGGUCAAUACCCCGGACACCUAGUGCCCAUCGUUUACAGCGUGGACUAC
rnacentral:misc_RNA from 1 species